GACGAACCGUGCAAACGUUAUUCGGAAUCACUGGGCAUAAAGGGCGCGUAGGCGGCUCCAAAAGUCAGGGGUGAAAUCCGGCAGCUUAACUGUCGCAGUGCCUUUGAUACUGUGGAGCUAGAGGGAGGUAGGGGUCUGUGGAACUUCCGGUGGAGCGGUGAAAUGCGUUGAUAUCGGAAGGAACGCCGGUGGCGAAAGCGACGUGCUGGCCUGUUCUUGACGCUGAGGCGCGAAAGCUAGGGGAGCAAACGGG
rnacentral:rRNA from 1 species